UGGAUUGCUGCAACGAAAAACUUUGCAGCACCUAAAGUUGUAUUAUUUGUCUCCUGAGUUAAGGGAUGAGCUUUCUCGGAUAGAAGGAGAAGAUCGGGAGAAGAUCUGCCUCGCCACCUCAAUACGCGGGUGGAGGCGUACGGCAUCAUGAAGGCUCAGGAGAAGUUUCAUAAAGCGCUACCAGGAAAUGCUUGGACUAUAUAGAAGAGCAUUUCCAAUGCAACAAAUCUUUCUCUACUUGUCUAAGCUCGUCUUUUUCCUUGUUUUUUCUGCUUUUGUGAAACAUACGUGUUUGUGUAAGAUGCUUCCACGUUUUCAAAUAAAGUGAUCAUGCAGUUUAUAAUUGAACCUCACUGGAGUUUUAAUAAGAGAAAACCAACAGAAUACAUGCAAGAGUAGAAGCCCGUACACUUCUAAAAGCUGAGGCAUGCUUAGGAAGUGUUUUUAAAAAACAGUUUUUAAGAAUAAAUUUAUAAUAUUUUCAUAAAUAAAAUUAUAUUUGAAAGUUGAAUUCUAAAAAACAGUUUUCGUUCUUAAAAACAUGUUUAAUUAGUUAAUAAAAACAACUUUUAACAAUAAAUAAAAUGAAAACUUGUUUGGAAGUUGUUAUUGUUGGUUUUUUAUUUUAUUUUUUUAAAGUUGGGUAUUUUCUUUAAUUAACCUGAUAUUGUAAAAUUAUAAAUAAUUUUUACAUUCACACUUCAUUAAAAAUAAAAAAUAUUCCAUUUUCAAAUUUUUUUUUUGCAUCAAUUUUAAUUUUUUAAAAUAAAAUAUUACUUUGUAAACAUGUCUAAGUAUGUUUGAUUUCAAUAAUUGGUAAAUUAUUUGAGCAAAAUAUCAUAAAUUGGUAAAUAUUAAUAAUUGGAUUUUAUUGGAUAAAAUUUAUGAUAUCAAACAAUAAUGCAUUAUACUUGGAAACUUAUGAUCUAUUUUUUCUAUUUUAAAUGUAAUUAAUAAUAUAAAAAAUUAAUAUAUUUAUGAUAACUUUAACAAAAUUAAUUUAUUUGUAAAAAUUUAUUAAUUUUUACUAUUUUACAUAUAUAUAUAUAUAUAUAUAUAUAUACACACACACUAGUAGAAAGCACAUGUGUUGCACGUGAAGAUAUAUGUAGGUAUGCGAUUGUUGAUAUAUGAAAUUAAUGAAAUUACAUUGUACUUGUAGGAAAAUAGAUCAAAUAUAAUAUUACUGUAGACAUAUUUGUGUCAUAAUCUAUACAUUUUGUAAUCCAUCAUUAUUGUGAUGUAUCAUUUAAGAAAAUUAACUUAGUUGUUUUCUUACAAAAGUUUGGAGGAAUUAUGAUCAUUAACUACUUGUUUGUCUUUGCAGUAGUCUGCACUAUAGUCUUUUUUUUUUCCUCAUGCAGAAAAGUUACACAUAUUUGAAAAUGUAUUAGUUGAAAUAGAAAAAUAAUGUUUCAAAAAAAUAUAUGGGCAAAAUAUUUCAACAUAAGCUAAUGGUACAUUACCUUAUAUUAUUUUUUGGGUUUUUUUUUUUUUGCUCAUUUUUCUCUCGAUGUUUAUAAAUUUGCAUUGAAGAAAUAAGUUUUAUUAUUUUUAAAUUCAAUUUAGAAAAUGGUAAUAUUGUGAAAGUUACAUUCAUUUAUAAUGAUACCAACAUAUACUUACCUCAAUAAUAUAAAAUUAUUCUCUUUGAUGUUUCUUUUUCCAGAAAUGAGUUGGAAAUAAGAUAAGUUUUGUUUAUAAAAUUUCAAUUUAAUUAUUUUGGGCAAAAGUAUAUAAUAUAUUGGACAUACCUGUUAAGAAAGUUGACAUCCUAUGGUCUUUUUGAUGAGUUUGUUUAAUAAGUUUCACCUAACUGAGAAUAGUAUAAAGAUAAAUUUAUGUGUAAUUCUAUUAAUAUUGUUAUAUUAUCGAUAAAAAGAUACAUACAUGUGGACCCCACAUUUCGGGUCAUGCAUUUACCACUCUAUGACGAGCUCGAUUUUUAUUUGAAAAUAAUUUUAUUAUUAAAAAAAAAUGACUUAGAGUCGCCACUUAUUUUUGUUUUAGUUUUAAAAGGGUAAACAAAAUAAGAAAGAAAACCCUAAGUGUGACUCGUUAUUUUGGAAAAGGUGGUCUAUGAAAAACCGGAUUAGGCUCGGGGGUCGGGUUACUUAUCGGGAAGGUACGGUAAAGACUAUAGCACCCCUCUAAGUCCCUAAAGUCGAGUCUCUACUAAUAAAAUGAAGCUGACGUGACAAUCAAUAGGAAAAUUAAUGGAUACUCAAAUCGGUCAUGCAUAUAUGGGAAUCAAAACAUGUAUAGAGAAUGACUAGAAUGGGAGUGGAUGGGUACUUAGGCCACGAACGAGCAAUGCGCUAUCAUAAAAAUGGGGUCAGUGUACAAUAAAGAGCACAAAACGUAUCACAUGCAUCACCAAACAUAAAUUAAAACUGCUCGAGGGAAAAUUGGAUUUUUGAAAUUUAUUUGAAAAUUGGAGUCUUAGAGAUUAUUUGAAAAUUUGAGUUUUGGAGAUUAUUUGAAAAUUGGAUUUUUAGAAAUUAAAUGUAGGAAUGAGAAUUUUAGAAAUUAAAUUUGAAAGAAAUCGGAAUUUUGAAAAUUAUUUGAGAGUUUGGGAUUUUUAAAAAAUUAAAUUACGAAAUUGGGGCUUUUGGAAAUUAAAUUUUAAAAGAAAUCAGAAUUGAAAAUUAUUUUAGAAGUAGAAGCUAUGAAAAUUGAAUUAUAAAAAUUGGAAAUCUUAGAAAUCAUUCGAAGGUAGAAUUUUUAGAAGUAAAUUAAUAAAAUGAUAAUAAUAAUGAUAAUAAUAAGUAAGUAACGGAAUAAAUGCGAGAAUUAGAAUAUUGGAAAUUGAAAAUUAAGUUCGGAAAUUGAAAAUUUGGAAUUUCAAAAAACUAAAUUUGGAAAUCGAAAUUUUGAAGAAUUAUUUAAGGACAUAAUUUUAAAUAAAUGAAUAAGUGAAUAAAUAAAUGAAUGGAAUAAUAAUAAUGACGAAAUAAUAAUGAUUGGAUGAAUAAUUGAGGAAGUUAGAAUUUCGGAAAUUGGAAAUUGAACUUAGGGAUUGGAAAUUUAAAGAAUUAUUUAGGGAUGAAAUUUUAAAUACAUGAAUAAGUGAAUAAAUAAAUGAAUGAGAUAAUAAUAACGAAAAUAAUCAUUAAACAACAGAAUGUGAAUAGUGGAAUUUUUUAAAUUGAAAAUUAAAUUUGGAAAAUGGAAUUUUGAAAAAUUGAGAAUUUUUAAAAGAAAUAAAUAAAUAAAUAAAUAGAAUAAUAAUAAUAACAAUGAAAGCAAUAUUUAAAUGAAUGAACGUGAAAAGUAUUUUUUGAAAUUUGAAAAAUUAUUUAAAGAGGGAAUUUUUAGAAUAAACAAAUGGAAUAAUAGUAAUAACGAGAAUAAUAAUGAUUAGAUAUAAUAAUUGUGAAAAUUGGAAAGUGAAUUUAGAAAUUGGAAAAUUGAAGAAUUAUUUAGAGAUGAAAUGUCGGAAAAUUAAAUUUCGAAAGUUGGAAACCCGAAAAAUUAUUUUAAGGCUGGAAUGUUGGAAAAUUAAAUUUUGAAAACUGGAAACCCAAAAAAAAUUAUUUUAAUGAUGGAAUGUCAGAAAAUUAAAUUUCAAAAACUAGAAACCGAAAAAUUAUUUUGAAAAUGGAAUGUCUUGAAAAUUUUGUUUUGAUAUCAAAAUGUGAAGAAAUAAUAAAAAGAAAUAUGAAUUGUGGUGAUCUUCACGUGCACGUCUCCAGUAUAAUGGCCAUAAACCCAUUUUAUAUAUUCUUUUCCACCACCUGAACAAACAGCUUUUGCAUUAAGAUUGACGAGUGGGUGUGGAGGUUGGUAUGGCCAUGCAUGCGUGAGGAUGUGUUGGACGGAUAUGAAGGUUGGUGUGGCCAUGCAUGCGUGAGGAUUUUAAGGAUGGAAUUAAAUUUGGAAAUCUGGAAACCCGAAAAAUUAAAUUAAUUUUAAGGAUGGAAUAUCGGAAAAUUAAAUUUUGAAAACUGGAAACCCGAAAAAAUUUAUUUUAAGGAUGGAAUAUCGGAAAAUUAAAUUUCGAAAGCUGAAAACCCGAAAAAUUAUUUCAAGGAUGGAAUGUCGGAAAUAUAAAUUUCGAAAACUGGAAACCCGAAAAAUUAAUUUAAGGAUGGAAUGUCGGAAAAUUAAAUUUCGAAAACCGGAAACUCGAAAAAUUAUUUUGAGGAUGAAACGUCGCAAAAUUAAAUUUCGAAAACUGGAAACCCAAAAAAUUAAUUUAAGGAUGGAAUGUCAGAAAUAUAAAUUUCGAAAACUAGAAGCCCGAAAAAUUAAUUUAAGGAUGGAAUGUCGAAAAAUUAAAUUUCAAAAACUGGAUGGAAUAUCAGAAAAUUAAAUUUCGAACGCUGGGAACCUGAAAAAAUUAUUUUAAGGAUGGAAUGUUGGAAAUAUAAAUUUUGAAAACUAGAAACCCGAAAAAUUAUUUUAAGAACGAAAUGUUGGAAAAUUAAAUUUCGAAAACUGGAAACUUGAAAAAUUAUUUUGAGGAUGGAAUGUCGGAAAAUUGAAUCUUGAAAAUUUUGUUUUGAUAUCAAAAUGUGAAGAAAUAAUAAAAAGAAAUAUGGAUUGUGAUGAUCUUCAAGUGCACGUCUCCAGUGUAAUGGCCAUAAGCCCAUUUUAUAUAUUCUUUUCCACCACCUGAGCAAACAGCUUUUACAUGAACAUUGAUGAGUGGGUAUUGAAAAAUGAUGACAUGGGCAAGGUAAUGGAGUCAGCCACUAGCAGGAAAUAAAUAAAAAAUAAAAAUCCUACAGACCCAUUUAAUUCGACAUCAAACCAGAAAGCAAAACCAUGCAGUGGAGCUCACAUCAACUGGAUCACUCUUUCUUAUCAAACUUCUUUCGAAUAUAUCUAGGAAUCCUCUUUGGAAUUCCCAUUACCUCAGAAGGAAAUAGAAUUCUAGAUGAGUUGUGGCCCUUGUAAAAAAAGAAAAUAAUAUUUGCCUUGAAUAAUUUUAUUGAAUCAGGAGACGAAGCUUUAUACAAGAGAUUUCCUACAAUCAUGCUAAUUUCCUAUAAUCA
rnacentral:lncRNA from 1 species